UACGUAGGGGCGAGCGUUGUCCGGAUUUAUUGGGCGUAAAGAGCGUGUAGGCGGCCAGGUAGGUCUGCUGUGAAAACUCGAGGCUCAACCUCGAGACGUCGGCGGAAACCAUCUGGCUAGAGUCCGGAAGAGGAGAGUGGAAUUCCUGGUGUAGCGGUGAAAUGCGCAGAUAUCAGGAGGAACGACCGGUGGCGAAGGCGGGUCUCUGGGCCGAUACUGACGCUGAGACGCGAAAGCGUGGGGGAGCGAACAGG
rnacentral:rRNA from 1 species